GACGGGAGCUGAUGUCGCUCUUCUGAUGAGGCCAUGGUAGGCCGAAACUAGUU
rnacentral:hammerhead_ribozyme from 15 species